GCAGACACAUUCCAGCCAAUCAGCAGCAGACCCUCCCUCCCAGACCCUCUCACCUCCUGGACAGCAUCCAUUUUACAUUCUUAGCGAGCUGUCCAGGAGGUGGGAGGGUCUGGGAGAGAGGGUCUGCUGCUGAUUGGCUGGAAUGUGUCUG